rnacentral:sRNA from 1 species
UUCUUACCAAAUGUACACAUUCGAAUGUAGUAUUGGCUGUGGUUUUUUUCAUUGAUGGUGUAACUCCCUGUGUGAAAUCAGUUUACAAUUUAAAGAUUGAAUGUACUCUUUUCUUUAGAAGUAUAAUGGUUUCUUAAUUUUUUUUUUCAGACUGUACAAUUUGUUCAAGGAAUUUUUGUAGAAAAAUAUGAUCCUACGAUAGAAGAUUCUUAUAGAAAGCAAGUUGAAGUAGAUGCACAACAGUGUAUGCUUGAAAUCUUGGAUACUGCAGGAACGGAGCAAUUUACAGCAAUGAGGGAUUUAUACAUGAAAAAUGGACAAGGAUUUGCAUUAGUUUAUUCCAUCACAGCACAGUCCACAUUUAACGAUUUACAAGACCUGAGAGAACAGAUUCUUCGAGUUAAAGACACUGAUGAUGUUCCAAUGAUUCUUGUUGGUAAUAAGUGUGAUUUGGAAGAUGAAAGAGUUGUAGGGAAGGAACAAGGUCAAAAUCUAGCAAGACAAUGGAACAACUGUGCAUUCUUA